ACACAGUAAUAUGCAGCCUUUAAACGGCCCUUUUCAGGGCCAUUCAACUCUUUCGAUAGCAAAAUAUUAAUAGGAACAAAAAUUUUAAUCAUCUUAAAAUACACAUCUCAAUCUUUAUAUUUGUGAUUGUAAACGGAUUGCCUUGAAGUUCUUUCUAUUUCUAAACGUGUCUCAUAGUCGACCACUUUAUUCGGAUUCCUUUCGGUACGAGGUGACAUACAUUUUUUUAAUUGCAUUCAAAUGACUUCAUAGUAGAGGUGGGUAGUGAGUGAGUCAGUUGAUUCAAAGAGUUGACUUUUCUAGGUGAACAAAAUGAAUUGAUUCUGUGAGGUAUAGUUCAGUAACUCGAUGAUUCAGUGCUACCACUGGUUCAUUAGAGUUCACAAAUCACAGAUGUGUGUUAUCAGUUCCUGAAUUAUUUGUGAUUUAA